rnacentral:lncRNA from 1 species
GAGAUCGCUUCCUGCAGAGGAGGCAACAGGCCCCGCUAGCAGGUCAGGGUCCCGGGCAGGCGCAGGUGCCCCCCGGCCUCUCAAGCAGGGACUGCGGCGAGCUCAGACGCGGCUGACGGGCAGAGACUCGCGCUUGGGCUCAGUGCGUGUGAAGUGGGCCUCGGGCUGCGGAGGAGGGCAGCACCCCGUGGCUCCUCGCGCUGCUGCGAGCAGGGCCGCCUGGCAGGGGCGGGGGCCGGUGGGCGGGAGUGUCGGGGUAAGGCCGCGGACUCCUCCCAUGCCGCUGAGCAGUGGACAGCGGGGACUGGAGACCUCCAGGUGAGGAAGGGGAACGAAGUCAAGAAGGCCACAUGUCCUGGCUUCCAGGCUUGGUGUCCUCAGAAGCCUCCAGAACGUCCAUGGAACCCGCCCCUGCGCCCACCGCCUCCUGCUGUCUUUCCAGCUGAGUUCCGGCUGCCCCUCACCCUCGGCUUCUUCACUCUGCCUCUCCCCAGCCAGCGCCCUGCUCCCCGGUCCUCAACCACCACCUUCCACCUGCCUGGGCCUUCAUCGCCUCCGAGCUCCCCUUCCACACCAAACCUGGCGUCCGUUUUCCUCCAGGCCUGCACCAGCACAGCUGAAGGGGAGAGAGACCCAACCUCAUCCACUGGGCCUCCCCUCAACCAGGGCCACAACCUCAAGGGGCCAUGCCACCUCCAACACCUAUUUCCCACCUUCUACUCUCUCCACACCCUGGGACACCACCCGCCUCUCUCAGCUGACGUUUUCCUUCUUGUUUUGUGUGCAUGGUGCUUGUGUGAGAAAGUGGACACACAGUAAGUGCGGCUUCCAGAUGCGUCCGCCACCUGCCCUCCGUGCCACGCGCUUCCCCCUACCUAGGGGAGCCUCCACCAGACAGGGAACCCACGCCUUGCCACCCUUCUCUCUCCCUCCCACUUCACCUGUCCGCAUCAUUUCUGGAGCCCUUUCUUUCUGGCACGAGAUGCUCCAGGGCCCUGUUGUAUUCUCCCUGCCCCAGCCUGAACCCAGCUAUUUCUGCUGCAGCCUGGUUCAUUGUGGGAGAAUGUCAUGCAGAGCCCGGGAUCUGGCUCCGGAUGUGCUCAUUGCUACUGGGGUGUCAUUGCAGCUGGCGGAGCAAGGGAACACAUCUAUGUACAUGCCCACACGCAUAUGUAUACACACAGUUUCAUGGGCGUGUUUGUCUGUUUUUCUUGGGCACCACGUGUUUACUCUGAUGCCAGGCCAACACUACAGGGCUCAACCUGUUCGGAAUGAGGGGCCUCCUGCUUUGGGAGUGAGGAACCUGGCUCUGAUUAUCUCCUGUGUAACCAGUCUCUCAUCCUU